CGCCCGGGCGGACGGUUCAUUCAAAUUUCUGCCCUAUCAACUUUCGAUGGUAAGGUCUUGGCUUACCAUGGUUUCAACGGGUAACGGGGAAUUAGGGUUCGAUUCCGGAGAGGGAGCCUGAGAAACGGCUACCACAUCCAAGGAAGGCAGCAGGCGCGCAAAUUACCCAAUCCCAACAGCUGGGGAGGUAGUAACAAUAAAUACUGAUACAGGGCUCUUUUGGGUCUUGUAAUCGGAAUGAGUACAAUUUAAACCCCUUAACGAGGAACAAUUGGAGGGCAAGUCUGGUGCCAGCAGCCGCGGUAAUUCCAGCUCCAAUAGCGUAUAUUAAAGUUGUUGCAGUUAAAAAGCUCGUAGUUGAACCUUGGGCCUGGCUGGCCGGUCCGCCUCACCGCGUGCACUGGUCCGGCCGGGCCUUUCCUUCUGGAGAGCCGCAUGCCCUUUAUUGGGCGUGUUGGGGAACCAGGACUUUUACUUUGAAAAAAUUAGAGUGUUCAAAGCAGGCCUUUGCUCGAAUACAUUAGCAUGGAAUAAUGGAAUAGGACGCGCGGUCCUAUUUUGUUGGUUUCUAGGACCGCCGUAAUGAUUAAUAGGGAUAGUCGGGGGCAUCAGUAUUCAAUUGUCAGAGGUGAAAUUCUUGGAUUUAUUGAAGACUAACUACUGCGAAAGCAUUUGCCAAGGAUGUUUUCAUUAAUCAGUGAACGAAAGUUAGGGGAUCGAAGACGAUCAGAUACCGUCGUAGUCUUAACCGUAAACUAUGCCGACUAGGGAUCGGGCGAUGUUUCUAUCUUGACUCGCUCGGCACCUUACGAGAAAUC
rnacentral:rRNA from 1 species